rnacentral:rRNA from 1 species
GAUGAACGCUAGCGGCAGGCCUAAUACAUGCAAGUCGAACGGUUCGCAAGGACAGUGGCAAACGGGUGCGUAACGCGUAAGCAACCUGCCUCAUACUGGGGGAUAGCCCGGCGAAAGCUGGGGUAAACCCGCACGGUCCCACCGGAUCACCUGGUUUGGUGGGUAAACAUUUAUGGGUAUGAGAGGGGCUUGCGUCUGAUUAGUUAGUUGGCAGGGUAACGGCCUACCAAGACGAUGAUCAGUAGGGGUUCUGAGAGGAUUGGCCCCCACAUGGGUACUGAGAUACGGACCCAACUCCUACGGGAGGCAGCAGUAGGGAAUAUUGGGCAAUGGACGGAAGUCUGACCCAGCCAUGCCGCGUGCAGGAUGAAGGCGCUCAGCGUUGUAAACUGCUUUUAUUGGUGAAGAACUGUAGUCCUGCGGGA